rnacentral:rRNA from 1 species
CACCGCCCGUCACACCAUGAAAGCUGGUUGUACCAGAAGUCGAUGCGCCAACCGCAAGGAGGCAGUCGCCCAAGGUAUGGUCGGUGAUUGGGGGUGAAGUCGUAACAAGGUACCC